AAUGGCGGGUGCUACCAUGCAAGUCGAACGGAGGUUUUCAGCAAUGGAGAUCUUAGUGGCGAACGGGUGAGUAACGCGUAAACAACCUGCCUCAUAGAUGGGGACAACACCGCGAAAGUGGUGCUAAUACCGAAUGUUUUAACUUUGCUGCAUGGCAGAGUUAAUAAAGGUGGCCUCUAAAUUAUGCUACCGUUAUGAGAGGGGUUUGCGUCUGAUUAGCUAGUUGGCGGGGUAACGGCCCACCAAGGCGACGAUCAGUAGCCGGUCUGAGAGGAUGAACGGCCACACUGGGACUGAGACACGGCCCAGACUCCUACGGGAGGCAGCAGUGGGGAAUCUUCCGCAAUGGACGAAAGUCUGACGGAGCAACGCCGCGUGAGUGAAGAAGGUUUUCGGAUCGUAAAGCUCUGUCUUUUGGGACGAAUGUGCUGUAGGUGAAUAAUCUGUAGCAAUGACGGUACUAAAGGAGGAAGCCACGGCUAACUACGUGCCAGCAGCCGCGGUAAUACGUAGGUGGCGAGCGUUGUCCGGAAUUAUUGGGCGUAAAGGGCGCGUAGGCGGAUCUGUAAGUCUGACUUAAAAGUGCAGGGCUCAACCCUGUGAGGGGUCAGAAACUAUAGAUCUUGAGUGCAGGAGAGGAAAGUGGAAUUCCCAGUGUAGCGGUGAAAUGCGUAGAUAUUGGGAGGAACACCAGUGGCGAAGGCGACUUUCUGGACUGUGUCUGACGCUGAGGCGCGAAAGCCAGGGGAGUGAACGGGAUUAGAUACCCCGGUAAUCCUGGCCGUAAACGAUGGGUACUAGUGUAGGAGGUAUCGACCCC
rnacentral:rRNA from 1 species